rnacentral:piRNA from 1 species
UGGGCUUCUUGAAAACUGUAC